UCACAUUACGGUGGCUGUCCAGAUUGAUG
rnacentral:piRNA from 1 species